rnacentral:lncRNA from 1 species
UUUAGCCACUAGAAGAGGAGGAUAUUUAGGGUUUUUGAAUCCGAUGAGGAUGAGGAUAGUGAGUAAGUCUAACAAGAAAAAAGAGAAGAAAGAAUACUUCAAAGAGAAAAUGGACCCAGAGAUUCCAAUUCUAGUUGAAGUGCCAUAUCAUGAAGGAAAAGAGGAGAAAAACAAGGAUCUUGGAAUCCAUGAAGGAAUCCACCUCCUACAC